UCAGUCUCAGACAUCCAAGGAAGGAUAAAGCAGCAUUAACUCUCAAGCCUGGCGAAGGCGAAAGUUCUUAGGCGGCCACUGCGAAUGUUUUGAGAAACAAGCCUUAAUGUUAUCAUCACAGACGACAUUAUAUAAUUAUAUAAAUAAAUAAUGUAAAAGCAAAGAGAUAUACUUUUCCAUCCUAAAAUGAUCAGCAAAAUAUAAGAAAACAGAGCUGACAAAGUGAAGCAGAUGGAUAAUUUGCAUAUAAGGGACGCAUUCUUCCCAUAAGCAAUCAGAAACAC
rnacentral:lncRNA from 1 species